CUAAUCUUAACAAUAUAUUAUAUAUUGUCAGAUUACGACGGCAUACAAAAUAUUUCAUGAAGUGAAUUACCUUGGUGGUUAUCAAUUAUUUGGUAAGUUCCCCUAAAUGUUAAAAUUACCGUCAUGCUAUUUGAGUUUUAAUCAACAAGAUAUUAGUACUCAGUAUUUUUAAAUGGGUAUUGUAUAAAAGGGUAUCUAAUCCUUGUUUAUGAUCAAUAUUUUAAACAUUUUAGUUUUUUUAAGAUUUAAAAUGCUAUUUCACCAAAAUAAUUAUAUAUAAACUAUAUAUACUGUACAUGGUUUAUUACUAUAAAAGUCUGACCGCGACUGCUGGCACUUUUUAAGUCAUAGUAUGUAUAAUUGGUUUAUUCUUACUUUCAUAAAUUUAUAAAUUUUCUUUCCUGGUAAAACCUUUU
rnacentral:rRNA from 1 species